rnacentral:lncRNA from 1 species
UUUUUCUUUUCUUUUUCUUUUUCUUUUUCUUUUUCUUUUUGCAGCAAAUUUUUACAAUUCUUUGGUUUAAAUGACUUUGUGAGGGUCACCUAUACCGGAUUUGCAUUUUUGCUUUUUCUUUUUCUUUAUUUCACUGGAUCAUUCACUUAUUUGCAUCGGUCCUCUACGUAGAGGAUGCGUAGGCCGGAGCUGACUGCUGGGAUAAGCUAUUGAGGACUUAUACAGAAAUGACGAUUAAGGCCAUGAUAUAUGGGGUUUCGGGAAUGAUUCC